UCUCAGCGCAGGCGGAGUUGAUUGCUCUUACACAAGCUUGUAUUGCUUUUAAAGAUCAAGAUGUGACUAUUUAUACUGAUUCGAGAUAUGCCUUUGGAGUGGUUCAUGAUUUUGGUGUCAUUUGGCAGGCUAGAGGCUUUGUUGCAGCUGAUGGUCGAACUGUUUCUCAUUUUGCAUUAAUUGAUGGAUUAUUGAGGGCCAUACUGUUACCUAGAUCUUUAGCUAUUGUGAAGUGCAAG